ACAAUACUGUAAUACCCUCAAAUAUUCUUUAGUGUUCGGAAUCAGAUUCAGAAUAUACUAUGAGGAAUUGGGUUGUUUUGUCGGAAUAUUCUUGAGAAAAAUCGGAACAUCUGUAGCCAUGGGUUGACAUCAAAAUCUUAUAUCUCCCGAACACGUGUUUCUAAAUGGUUAUUACAGCGUGAAACGAUUGUGUAUAUUUCUGAUUCCAAAUUGUUUGGAUUAAUAUAAUAUCAAUGUUGGAUUUCACUUUCCACCUAAAUAAUGUAGGAUGAGUUGUGUGCGACUGGUGCUUUUUCUGUUCUGUGUAGCAACGGAUCUGCAUGUUGGAAGAGCGCGGUCCGGUAUGCGCCAACAAGGCAUCUGUACACACAGCUGUCCAACCGGUUAUUACGGCGUCAGACGUCAUAACUACAGUAUUUGUUAUAAAUGUCAAAUCGAGAAUUGUGAGACAUGUUUUGGUCAGAGUUUCUGCACGCGGUGCAGGGAGCCCUUCCUGUCCUAUAGGGGACAGUGUAUAGACAGGUGCCCGGAGGGCAUGCACUACGCCAACUAUUCCAAAGACUGUAGACCCACAGUGGACUGCAUGGCCGGUCCCUGGGCGCUGUGGAGCCCGUGUACACGGAACGGUCAGAACUGUGGGUACCGCUACGGUAUGAUAACCCGGACCCGCGAGGUCCUGGAGAGCCCCUCCCCCAACGGGGCGCGGUGUCCCAGUCUGAUAGAAACUCGAUGUUGCCUCAUGGAGAUGAGGCGAUGUGUCGGUUCAGAUUUUACCACAUCCAUCAUUGACAACAUGGAAUCUUCCGAAAAUGUUUCGAACACACUUCUCCAGUGUUCUAACGAGCACAACUAAGGGGGACAACCACUGAACCAGUGCAAAAGUAGCUUAUUGGCUGAAUCAAGUCAUGUGACAUAAUUUCGCAGUGUUUGACACUUGAAGGACAAUGACUUUAAAAACACGAAAAAGAAAGUUCUUUGAUGGUGAAGAAUUUACAAAACCAUUUUCCAUUGUAAAUAAUUAUUUUUGGGGUUUUGUAUGUUUUGUAUAUAUACAUGUUUGAUAAUAAAUUUGUUUUACUUU
rnacentral:misc_RNA from 1 species